UUCCUAGAAUCUAACCCAACUGAUCAACGGUUAUUACAGCUCUGGGGUUCCUUACAGUCAAAAGAUUUGUCUCUGUCAAGAUUUUUAGUAGAGGAAAAGGCAUUAUCUUCUAGAUAGGGUUAUAUAAAGCAGCUCUCCAGCAUUAAGAAACAUAGCUUUGCCAAUACUUCUGCUCAUUGCAAAGAAACAGUGUUAUAGGCCCAGGGGUGAGCAUGCACAGAGAAAAGGCUUUGUGAGGACACAGUGAGAAGAUGGCUGUAUGCAAACCAAAGAGAGAGGUCUCCGGAGAAACCUGACCUGCUGACACCUUGAUCUGGGAUUUCCAGCCUCCAGAACUGUAAGAAAGGUACACUUGGUCUUUCCUGAUGACGCUUUUAAGAGAAAGGCAGAGUUGACCCUGGGCUUUCAAAAAACUGUUCUUUCAGGCAAAACCUCAGAGAGAACUGGCUGCUAGUGAUCCUCUGCAGAGACCUUGAAGAGCACGGCAAUUAUGAAACUUCAACAAGAAAAGAUUUAAGCUGAUCUUUUAAAAAAAUAUAUACUGUCAGGAAUUUUGUAGAAAUGACUUUAAUGUAAUAACUGCUUCUUUGACUUAUGUUUUGUCUUGUGGUGAAAAGAAAAAUAUUUAUAAAAGCAUGCCUGUGUCCUAAAAUUGGGGACACAAACUUAAAUGACUGAAGGCACUUGAGGAGUGGAGGCAAGGAUGGUGAAACCAGGCCCUGUACCAAGCAGGAGAGCGUGAACCUGCUAAAGAGAGUGACUGCUUCUCAUUUCCAGUCAAUGCGACUGGUGUCGCAUUCCAGUCAAAUGGAGUUGCGACACCAUUUCAGCCACAGCGAUUGAUCUGGAUUUUCUGUAAAAUUCCCUGAUUUUUACAUAUUGCCAAUUAAUUAAUUAAUUAAAAAGAAAUGUAGAUGUUCAACC
ensembl:lncRNA SIRLNT SIRT1 regulating lncRNA tumor promoter